rnacentral:rRNA from 1 species
UACGUAGGUGGCAAGCGUUGUCCGGAUUUACUGGGCGUAAAGAGCGCGCAGGCGGUCGUGCAAGUCGCGUGUGAAAGCCCCCGGCUCAACUGGGGAGGGUCACGCGAUACUGCUCGACUGGAAGGCAGGAGAGGGAAGCAGAAUUCCCGGGUGUAGUGGUGAAAUGCGUAGAUAUCGGGAGGAAUACCAGUGGCGAAGGCGGCUUCCUGGCCUGUUCUUGACGCUGAGGCGCGAAAGCUAGGGUAGCAAACGGG